CUGCCAUCUGCACAAAACCUGCUGGAGAGAAUGAUGCUGACAGGCAGAGGAAAGCAAGCAAGAGGGACAGGGAGAAAGUCUCAGUGGUUUUGGUCACUGAGGUCAGCCGCAUCCCUGCUCUUCUUCAGGCUGUGUGACACUUCCAACAAAUGUCUUUUUUGCAGAAAGGAGUUUGAGUUGUGUUCCUGUCACUUACUACUAAAAGAAUCGUAAUACAGAAAUUGGAACCUGACUGGGGAGUGGAAAUUGCUGUAGAAUCCUGGAAACUGGAGUGGUGAUACCUGGGAAGGACCACAACCAGCCAAGCGCCUCAUGAUGUGCACUCCCUGACUGAUGAGGAAUUGCCAGCCUCCCCCACCACAGCCCAGCGUGAUGCAAAAGUCCCUGAGCAGGGACAACAUUGAGGGCAGAGCAGCCAGCCGUGCCUUCCCUCCUCACAUUUCCCGCUGAGCCCUGGAGGAAGGGCAGAGCCUCCGGAGCUGCCCUGAGAAGCUGGAGCCACGUGGGUGGCGUCCAAUAUGCCCUCAUGCCUUACAGCUUUCUGGGGUUGGUUACUGGCCAAAAGAGACCCCCAAAAUGAAACUCACUAUCAGCUGAUUAAGAUUUCAGAGUUGAAGAGUUAAUAAAGCCCAAGUCUGCCAAACUGAGGUGUGUGAUUACUCCAACCACUAAAGGAGUUAGUUUUCAAACAUUCUUAAUGAUAAGAAUCACCUGAGACGAUUGUUAAAAAUAGAGAUUCCCAAGCACCUCCCCUUGGAGAGUCAGUGGAUGUGGUGUGUGAUUGAAAAUCUGUAUUUUCACUGAAUUCCCCAGGAUAUUUCUAUCAUCCAGCAAGUUCGGGAAACUCUAUCAUGAGGCAAUUCCCAGGUGUCUAGACCAUCAGGAAGUGGUUCGUGAGGCAGUCCAGCCCCGAGUGUGGGGAUCCUCUCCACCACCCUGCUUGCGAGGGGUCUUAUGGACGUGGGCAAGGGAAAUGUUCCCAACAGGCAGAGCCUGGAGAGUCAGCCUGCGAGCAGAGAACUCAUUCUUUGCCAAGAGGCAGGGAUAUUCAACAGCCACAGCUCUGACCUCACCAUCCCUGUCCAGCUGGAUGUGGUUUAAACGCUGGACCAGUGACCACUGCAUAUCGCCUCCUUUUCACUCAUUUUAAACGGUAGCAUUUAUGACGGUUACCCUGUUUUCCACCAGCAUCAUACAUGAGGUGUGUUGGUGGUUAUAGUAAUCACAUAGCCAACGAGGGCAAGAUCAUGGGGAGCCACGAGAAGACUUGACCAAGAGGAAUAGACACACUCAAGAAUCCUGAACUCGGACUUGCUGUCAAAUAGCCCUCAAAGCUAACGCUUCAAGCACCACUCCUAUCCACACCCAAACUCACUCCUUUUCUCCAAAUAUGUAGAAACAAUAUCUAGC
ensembl:lncRNA